rnacentral:tRNA from 1 species
GCGCCUGUAGCUCAGUCGGAUAGAGCAACUGCCUUCUAAGCAGUCGGCCGGGGGUUCGAAUCCCUCCAGGCGCGCCA